GCGAUGUUUGGUUUGGUGUUUGUAACUCUCCAAGAAGAGAAGACGGGUGCACAAUCCCAAGAUUGCGGUAAGAAUAAUUUUAUGUAAAAGCAUAUUUUUAAGUAGCCCAAGCUAAAAGCCCAAGCUGUGUGUUUUAUUGCUUAGAGGUGUUUUUGUCUUGUAAUUUUUAGGAGGCUGUACGGCGUCUCUGAGGCACACUGCAGGCGCUUUGAACCAGAGCAAAGACUAAAGUCGCCUCAUAACGAAGCCGUGACCUCCUAUUUGGUUGGGGCUAUUUAGCAAGUCCACAUUUAACUGCUGAGAAUGACGACAUUGUUUCUGCCUGUAAGACGUAUUAUGAGUCGGUUCGCCGGAGCUUCAGAUACAAACAACCUGAACUCGCAUCGCGGGCGGAAAAUGCGAAAAGUUUAGCUCGGAGUCGAUCCAGAAGAAAAAGGUUGCUGGAAGCGAGACGAAGUGUGCUGGCUGAGGGUGAGAUGGACAUUUGAAAGUGCGCCACCAUAGAUCUCAUGUCUGAUGAAGACGGCAUUGUUGACGGGGUGUCUGGAUGGAUUGUACGGCCACCGCCCUCUCGCAGCCUGGAACUCUCCGAACUCUGUGCCACGCUGCAAUUCAGAUUAGAGGCGAUACCAAAGUACAGGGGAACUCACCAUAUAUGCCUGCAAAAGCGACUUUUUUUUACAACGUUUUUGAGU